CCCUUAGAUGUUCUGGGCUGCACGCGCGCUACACUGAAGCUAUCAACACGUUUUCCCUCCCUGAGAAGGGCGGGUAACCUUUUGAAUCAGCUUCGUGGUAGGGAUCGGGGCUUGCAAUUGUUCCCCGUGAACCAGGAAUUCCUAGUAGACGCGAGUCAUAAGCUCGCAUCGAUUAAGUCCCUGCCCUUUGUACACGCCGCCCGUCGCUACUACCGAUUGAACGUUUUAGUGAGGCAUUUGGACCGACGCAUCUCAGUUUAACCGCUGGUUUGUGUUGGAAAGACUUCCAAACUUGAGCGUUUAGAGGAAGUAAAAGUCGUAACA
rnacentral:rRNA from 1 species